ACCUCGGAUCAGGUAGGAAUACCCGCUGAACUUAAGCAUAUCAAUAAGCGGAGGAAAAGAAACCAACAGGGAUUGCCCCAGUAACGGCGAGUGAAGCGGCAACAGCUCAAAUUUGAAAUCUGGCUCCUUUCGGGGUCCGAGUUGUAAUUUGUAGAGGAUGCUUUUGGUGAGGUGCCGCCCGAGUUCCCUGGAACGGGACGCCACAGAGGGUGAGAGCCCCGUCUGGCUGGCCACCGAGCCUCUGUAAAGCUCCUUCGACGAGUCGAGUAGUUUGGGAAUGCUGCUCAAAAUGGGAGGUAUAUGUCUUCUAAAGCUAAAUAUUGGCCAGAGACCGAUAGCGCACAAGUAGAGUGAUCGAAAGAUGAAAAGCACCUUGAAAAGAGGGUUAAAUAGUACGUGAAAUUGUUGAAAGGGAAGCGCUUGUGACCAGACUUGGGCGCGGCGGAUCAUCCGGGGUUCUCUCCGGUGCACUUCGCCGUGUCCAGGCCAGCAUCAGUUCGUCGCGGGGGAAAAAGGCUUCGGGAACGUGGCUCCUCCGGGAGUGUUAUAGCCCGUUGCAUAAUACCCUGCGGUGGACUGA
rnacentral:rRNA from 1 species